rnacentral:tRNA from 1 species
GCCACCGUAGUUCAAGUGGUUAGAACACACCUCUCAUGCGGGUGAGGAGUGGGUUCGAUUCCCUCCGGCGGCU